CAAUGGGGGAACCCUGAAUGCAGCGACGCCGCGUGAAGGAAGAAGUAUCUCGGUAUGUAAACUUCUAUCAGCAGGGNAAGAUAGUGACGGUACCUGACUAAGAAGCACCGGCUAAAUACGUGCCAGCAGCCGCGGUAAUACGUAUGGUGCAAGCGUUAUCCGGAUUUACUGGGUGUAAAGGGAGCGUAGACGGAGUGGCAAGUCUGAUGUGAAAAUCCGGGGCUCAACCCCUGGACUGCAUUGGAAACUGUNANUCUUGAGUGCCGGAGAGGUAAGCGGAAUUCCUAGUGUAGCGGUGAAAUGCGUAGAUAUUAGGAGGAACACCAGUGGCGAAGGCGGCUUACUGGACGAUAACUGACGNUGAGGCUCGAAAGCGUGGGGAGCAAACAGGAUUAGAUACCCUGGUAGUCCAAGGGCGAAUUC
rnacentral:rRNA from 1 species